AGCAGCCGCCGCGGGAAAACGUAGGGUGCGAGCGUUAAUCGGAAUUACUGGGCGUAAAGCGUGCGCAGGCGGUUGUGCAAGACAGAUGUGAAAUCCCCGAGCUUAACUUGGGAACUGCAUUUGUGACUGCACGGCUAGAGUGUGUCAGAGGGGGGUAGAACUCCACGUGUAGCAGUGAAAUGCGUAGAGAUCGGGAGGAACAUCAGUGGCGAAGGCGGCCAUCUGGGACAACACUGACGCUGAGGCACGAGAGCGUGGGGAGCAAACAGGAUUAGAGACCCGCGUAGUCCCUGUCUCUUAUAC
rnacentral:rRNA from 1 species